ensembl:lncRNA
CCCCACCCACCUCUCAGGCCCUCCUGGGAUAACUGUCCUCCUCUGGGGCCCUGCACCUGCUCCCAGCCAUGGUGGCCAGGCUCACUGCUCUCCUUGUUUACCUCGUUUUCUCCUUGGCCAUCCUAGUCCAGACAGGUAAGGAUAUGGAGACUUCAAUGAUUUUAAUCUAGAGGAUGCACUGAAAGAAACUUCCUGAGUAAAGCGUGACUCAAACAAACAAGUCCACCAAGCAAACACAAGUGGUCGGCCAUGCACCACACUCACAAUCUUGCCUUCAGAAAAGUACAUGCAUAUGAGACUAGCUGCACCUCCAUCUACCUGUUAGUUCUGUUGUGCAAGGCUUGUGUCGUCUCGUCAUACGUGUGUCAUCUUCCUUUUUCAUUUAGUCUAUGUCGAAACCACAAGAGAACGUGCAUCUGCCUUCGCCUUUUUUCUGCUGUACAAAAAGAGAACUCCUACCCGUUUCAUUCCUCUCACUGUUUUGUUUUGAGACAGGGUCUCUUGAUUUAGCCCGAGUUGUCCUGAAAUUCUCUGUGCCGACAAGGCCGGCUUUGACUUGGGUUCAGUGCUAGAACAACAGUGACUAUUGUCCACUGAUGCAUUUCUAGCUUCACAACCGAUGACUUUUUAUGAUUCUUCAGUGUGAUCCCCACAAUGGCCUCGGGGACCGAUACCGAGACCAUUCUCACGAUGUGACUUCUGUAAACCAUAAAGCAGCCAAUGUGUUUUAUAAUCUGCUUCCUUUCAUCCUCCCAUCUCCCUUCAGAGAGCCACUUUAGCACCACGACUAGGAGGACAGGAACUACCAGAGCCCCAUCAAAUCCAGCAGAGAGAUGGGACCACAUCACCACUACUACAGCGAGAAGGCCAGGAACAACUACAGCACCAUCAAAUCCUAUGAGUAAGACAAGCUCUCAGAAGAAAAAAGGAAGGAAGGAUUUUCCACAUCAGCUACCUGUUUCAGUUGGUCAGACAAGGAUCUCGAAGAUAUCUUGGGAGACGGGGGAUACAAACCUGACAAGAACAGAGUGGAUGGACUGCCAGACCGAAGGCUUCAUGAAAGAACUGUGCUGCUGUGAACGUCUGUAUAUGGGCUUAUAGAAGAUUUCACACAGAACAUACAUGGUUUGCAACAAUAUUCAUUCAUUCUGUUACCAAGGAUCCUGACAUGUUCUUCUGGCUUCUGUAGCCUUUUGCAACAGAUCCCAGAACCAAACUUUAUACUAUUAAAACAUCUCAUAUGUGCAUUAGUAAUAAUAAAAGAUUCUUCCAUGAAUAAUUUAGACAGUUACAAGUUAUCUCUGUGCAUAGCUCCACAUGUACUGUGGGGUCAGACUUCGAGAGAUUCAUUAUUUGGGAGUGACGUCUUAAGAAAGGAAACCCUAGGAUUGCAUUCUUAUGGAGUGGAGUAGAUUAUGUAUUGAUCUAUUUCAGGAAGAUUUGGGAAGGGAGAUUUUUAAUGUAGUUUAAAGUAAGUUAAUCAUUUCUUUCUACUGUUCUUUCCUUCUUUCUUCUUAGAUAUUGAUUUGAUGUUUUAGCCAACAAUAAUCUGUACAUAUAAUGGUAAUCCAAGAAGACUAGAGUGAAAUUUUUAAAGAUCUGGAUUACCUAGGUUUUGUUUGUUUUUUCCACUGUAGCCCUAUUUUUGGAGUAUAGAAUAGUUGUGUUUCACAGUGGUGAGACCAUGAUGUUCCUAAAUAUUCACAUCAUGUGAAUUGCUGGUCAUAUUAAAGCACAUUGCAUAUAUAUGUGUGUGUGUGUGGGUGUAUGUGUGUGCGUAUACAUAUAUAUGUGUGUGUGUAUGAGUGUGUGUUUGCAUGUGUACAUAUGCGUGUAAGUCUACUUGUACAUGUGCAUGUAUUAGUAUAUGUAUAUACAUAUGUAAUGAUGAAUAAUUGUUGUAUAUUAUUUUGUAUGCUUUCCAUUAUUUUAGCACUAACCUAUUUCAGGUACAGUUUUAUGAUCCUCAGGUAUACUGUAGCUGUUAAUUUUAUUAUAAACACAUAUAUAUCAAUAUUCUUCACUCAUUUAUUUACUUUAUAUCCUGAUUGCAGUCCCUUCCUCCAAGUCCCAUCUUUACAACCUGUUUUUCCCUCCAUUCUUC